rnacentral:rRNA from 1 species
UACGAAGGGGGCUAGCGUUGCUCGGAAUGACUGGGCGUAAAGGGCGCGUAGGCGGUUUGUACAGUCAGGUGUGAAAUUCCCGGGCUCAACCUGGGGGCGGCACUUGAUACGUAGGAACUGGAGUGGGGAAGAGGGUCGUGGAAUUCCCAGUGUAGAGGUGAAAUUCGUAGAUAUUGGGAAGAACACCGGUGGCGAAGGCGGCGACCUGGUCCUUGACUGACGCUGAGGCGCGAAAGCGUGGGGAGCAAACAGG